CAGCCUGCCCAGUGACUACGGGUUCAACGGCCGCGGUAUUUUGACCGUGCAAAGGUAGCGCAAUCACUUGUCUCUUAAAUAGAGACCUGUAUGAAUGGCUAGACGAGGGCUUAACUGUCUCCCCCUUCUAGUCAGUGAAAUUGAUCUAUCCGUGCAGAAGCGGGUAUAAUUAUACAAGACGAGAAGACCCUUUGGAGCUUAAGGUACAAAAUUCAGCCACGUUAAAUGACUCUACAAAAAGCAAGAACCUAGUGGCCAGUGAAGUUUUACCUUCGGUUGGGGCGACCACGGAGGAAAGAUAAGCCUCCGAGUGGACUGGGCUAAAUCCCCAAAGCCAAGAGAUACAUCUAUAAGCCGCAGAACAUCUGACCAAGAAUGAUCCGACUGAAAAGCCGAUCAACGAACCAAGUUACCCUAGGGAUAACAGCGCAAUCCUCUCCCAGAGUCCAUAUCGACGAGGGGGUUUACGACCUCGAUGUUGGAUCAGGACAUCCUAAUGGUGCAGCCGCUAU
rnacentral:rRNA from 1 species